CCAGCAUGGCACUAGAGUGUACUAUGGUAUUUAUACGCACACAGAUAAUCCGGAAGCGCACGGAUACCGUUGAAGCUUUUACCCGGUUAAAGGUUUUAUCGUAUCCACAGGGAAAUGGGAGAACUGAUCUACGCUCUAACUUAACCAAGAUAAGUAAAUAGGUGUGAAUAGGAAAGAUGGUAGAAUCAAAUAAGAACAAUAUUAAAGGUAAGAUAACAGUGAGUGAUAAUAUGGGAAUAGAGAGUAGAGCAAUUCUAGUAUAUGGGCGAUGGUAGCAGAAUAGAGAGAAUAACUAUGGUUUCUCUACUUCAAAGGGGUAUGUCUAUGUCUGGGACGAACCACGUGAUAAGAGUACACCACAAAGGAUGCUUAUCCAUAGGCCGAUAAACCCUACCCGUCCUGCUAACGAGAGGUGGACUACACGGGACCAACGUAACUGUCACCUACGCGGCCUACCACACGAUCCAGCUAGACAGGGGAUAUCCACAAGUAAUCUAGGUCUAAGCACCACGCUUACACCUAUACUACAACUCUGACCUAUAGGGUCCUAUAGAUUAGAAGUACUCAAAAGAGUUGUGAACCAGAACAUACAUGAUUAGUAAUUGCAUAAUGAAUUAGAAGUAGAUUACCAGAGUCAUCCCAUGAGCAAGCUUGAUUAGAGCUUGAUCAUGGCGAAGUACAACCGGAGGAAGAACCGACAGGCCGGCCUCUCCUCUAAUCCUCCUUCGCUCUCCAUCUCGCUACUAUCUAGAUCUACUCUAGUUUAGAGAAGAGAGGAGAGCUCUCAUCUCUAAACCCUAGCUUUUGCUCUGUCUAUGAAUAAUGAAUAAUGAUCAAGGGGUGCCUCCUCCAGGGGCCAGGGGGUCUAGUUUUAUAGUCCCCUCAAGUGAACCUGGGCCGUCGGAUCAAACUGACAUUGAUUGAAUGGUUAUUCUUGAUCCUUUAGGUCGGUGGAGCAUAAUCCGCGAGAUUGAGCGUGAUUGGCCGAAAAAGGUGGGCGGGCGCCCUAAGGACUUGGGCGGGCGCCCUGUCCCUGACUCCGUUCGGUCUCCGCUUCCUUCCCGUGGCUUCUGGAGUCUUCUGGAUGUAAGAUAAUUGUGCGGCACGUUGAUAUCUCUAUGUAAUCCCGACGUGUGGGCCUUUCUUCCUUAUUUCCUGAUAACCCCCUGCAGAAAUAGACAAACACCAAAACUCGUGGAAUUCUGUCAGAUAAAACCCUAAGUCUAGAUGUUGAUUUCAUUUGGAUCCUUUUCUUUGUUUAUUUGAUAAUUAAAUUUGAUACUUAAGGACCGUCAACAAACUCCCCCAAGCUUACCUCUUGCUCGUCCCUGAGCAAGGAUAGACUCCGCAAUGGAUCAGAAGUUGUUGCAAUAUCUUUAAAAAUUGACGGUACACAUGCUUUUAAAUGAGGUCCCAUCUCUGAGUUAGAGUAAACUGUCAAGACUUAAAACUUACUUACUUUACCUUUCACCAUGGGACUUGUAACCGUCACUUCUGUCUUGAGUGGUUAAAAGAUAGAACAGUCCAGUCAAGUGCCACGUCGCUUAUUCUUGAUCAGCUAUAGCUCUGGAGUUUUUGUAGAUUUUCAAAUAAAACUCAGAGAUUCCUUGUAUGACUCUCUAAAUCUCUCUUUUGUGGUAUUUCUGGAUCCUUACCAAGGCAGUGAUGGUAUAUGCCUUCUCUCAAGAUAUGUAGUAUUUGUGGUAUAAGGCAUAGUGACAUUGCCUUCUCUCUCACCCUACUCUAAUAAGGCUUUAAUAUCUGGAGCUUAUAGGUGGGAGAUAAAGUAUACAUACUUACAAGACAUUUAUUGUGUAGUCAAACUAUGGAUCCAAAGAAACAAAUCAAUAAGCCAAAUCAAGAUGUGCAUGUGUGGCGAAUGAAUGGUGUAUGGUGAUGAUGGUGAUAACAAUGGUGAAAGUCUAAUUCUACCUUUGCUCUUUUGAGGGGAUACAUACCUUCCUUGCUUUUUGAAACUUUAUGAGGAGAAUGAGAUGCUCUUCUUUUUCUUUCCUCUCAGGUGGGUAUCUUGUACCCCUAAUUCUACUGUCGGACACUUGUCCAUUUUUACCUCUCGUCUCACUUUUUCUUUCUUUCGAGGUUCCGGGCACUUGCCCCUUUUUAUUUCCUCAUUUAUUUUUUUUCUUUUCUCUCUUUUUUUUUCUACUUUUUUUUAGAGCACUCAUCUCUUAAGAUAAUAUAGCAAGUGGUAGUAGCAAGAUAACUUGAGCAUUUAUUUCACAAGGGAAAAACACAGAUGUUUUUGGCUAUUCUCUCCCGAAUCAGGAGUAGAAUAUUUUUAGGUGAUUCUGGAGAUGGAAAUGGAUGGAUAUAUGUGGAUGGUACUUCCGGAGUAGAAGUAGCAUAUAUAUGAGUGAACGUGCAAGUGAAUCUUGAUUUAACCACAUGACAAGCUCCUAAGGGUCUACACAGCUUGACCACACUCAAUGCUCAUAAGCAGUAAAUAAUAAAUGUGUGGCUCAAAGUCUAGCAAGCAUGUAUAUAUGGCUAUGGUAGGAAUUUAAACUUUCAUCAUACAGGAACUCAUCAUGCAACAUUUUAAAGAUUUUUCAAAGAUAAAAUUCUCCAGAAUUCUAGCAUCUCUAGGAAUAGAUAAACAGCAGCUCAACCUUCCCAUAUCAUAUCCGUUAACAACUUAGAUUUCAGAUCAAGUUUUCAUUCCACAAGUUUAGAUCUAGAGGAAGCUUUAAAUUAUAACAGUUAUGUCUAAACUUGAGAGAGAACUUCAAAUUUGCAAAUUAGGCAGAGCAACUAUUAAUCAUAUCCAUGCUAGAGUUUUAUUAUUAAGAUUCAGAUUAGCAUAGCCACUUUAUUUAUUUAUUAAACACACUAAGCAAAAGAUAUAUAUAUAUAAGCACAAAAUCUUUAUUUGGUUUUUCAUAGUUUAUGUAUUUUAAUAUUCUAAUAUAAUAUAAGUAUAAAGAUAGGUAGAAAUACUUAGCGAGAUAAAUGGGGUGCUCUCCCCCAAGCUGAAUUUUGACGUAAUUUCUCUUGAUGUAGCUAGCAGGUGGCAGAGGUGUAUUUGAAAGUCAGCAGCAUUCUGGCAGCGAUUAGAAUGUCCUCCGUCUGCUAGUCUUCUUGAUUCUUAAAUUCUGUGGAGCUCAAAUAGACAACAAAGCUUGUGGAACUAAUUAAGUAUUAGCAUAAAUAUCUAGCCUUCAUCACGUUGAGCUUCCUCAAUAAAUAUUACUCCUUAUUUUUAUAUUUUUAUUUUAUAAAGUAGAAAAGAAAUAUUUAUUUUAUUUUUAUGCCACCACAGUGAAGGUACUUAUGGGUUUUAUGCCACUCGUAUACUCACAUGGGGCUUAGUAUUUUUUAACAUUUUUAUUCUCUUUUCAAGAUAGCAUGAUUAACUAAUAAUCUAUUUAAGGAAAGUAAAUAAUUAAAUGGAAAAGGGAAUGCAGAAAGGAUAAAUAUGGAUAACUACCAAAUUUUAAGUCUUCUUGUCAAGACUUCUCAUCGUGUUCAUUCUCCAGGUGCGUCAUUUGAUUCAGGUGCGGACCUUGACGUCAGCACCUUUUAAUACGGUGUCACCCAUGUUCUUCGUUUUCCUAGCAGUUCGAAGUGCGGUGUUAGCAGUAUCUUGCUCAGUGUGUUUGUGCUCGUAGUGUACCUGCUCAUAGAGACAAGGCAGAGAUCAAGUGCAUGGGCCCUGUUGGUGGAAAACACCAACAGAACCAAAAGUGUAUUUGUUCUUCUCUAACCUUAAGCAUAGUGAGCAAGACAAGUUGAUGGAUGAUAAGUUCAUGAGUGUAGUACUUAUAACAUUUGUCAGAUUAGAUCGCUCAACCUUAUGGAAAGAUAAUCUAUCUAUGUAUAUGUCUUUUUCUUUAUAUCUCUCAAUGAUUGAAUGUGUAACAUUUUAGCUCAUAUGAUUAGGAGUGUGGGAUCAUGGAGGUAGUACUAAGAACAAGGAUUAAAGGACUAAAUAUGUUGAAUCAGUUGGGUUGGUUAAUCUAGAGUUGUAAAUCAUACACGUUUGUCUCUUUUAUUUAUAUGGACGCCAGAACCAAGGAGAAGCUUAUAAAAGUGAUAGUCAAGUACCUUAAGAUGUUACCUUGCUCGAAGAGUGAUGGUAGAGUAUCAUCUUGUGGAAGCUUUCCUUUCUUAGCGGUUGUGCGUCGUGUUUGUGGCACCCUCCAUGGAUCAUCUCUCUAUGAUGAAUGAGCUAUGUCCUUCUUGUGCAAAUUGUUAAACUUCAUGUGUCACUCUCUUCGUCUCUAAUGUGAGUUUAUCUCAGGACUUCCCAAAUCGAUAUUGAAAGUUUUUUCUGCAUGGGUUAGUCCGACAAAAUAUACCAAUAUCUACUCAAGCAGUUUUUUUAGUUCAAUAACAAACUAGACUCCAUGUCUAAUCAGAUUAAGGAAGGCUAUUUAACCUAAGCACCAUGCUUAAUUUAAAUGCCAAUGGAAGUAUGGCGAGUACUUCCAAACCAACACUUGCUAGUAAAUAGACAAAGGUAGCAUUACAGCGUUUAUAGUGAUCUACUCAAGUGGAGAUGAAGUAGUGUGACUAGUAUUUAACAAAUUGAGCAUGUCUCAAAGGUAGGGACAACCAGCAUAGCAACAUGGCAAAGGAUGUUUUUAUGUAAAGUACUCCCCCAAGCUUGAAUUUUGCAAAAUUCAAGUUUGGAUGAAUUUAAUUCAAUGUUGUAUGAUGAUUGGUUGGACAUACCUUGUGCUUGUCAUUCAUCCGAUCUUCUUGCUCCAAUCUUAGAAAGGUUAGUGACAAGAAUACCCGAAGGAAUAUAUUUUUUUUACAAUUAUCCUUAUAUGCUCAAUACACAAGGUAAUGUUGCAAAUAAUUAAAGGCUCAUGUUACGAUCUGAUCAAUGCUUAUUUUAAGACACUAAGCUUGUCCUUGGGAAACCAUCAGUUUAUGUUGGCGAAGUGGUUUCCCCUCCGACGCCAACCUAUAUCUAGAUCAACUCAACGAGAUCUACAAUAUUUAUUAUAGACAUAUGCAUCGACAACCGCCCUUUUAAAGUUUUUAUAAAUAGAAAGGAAGAGGGGGUUGGAGAUCUCAAGUGUGGUGAUGUCGGAGAGACCAAUAGAUUGGGAAGAUGUUGCAUAUGAGCAUGGAGUAAACGAAGUGGCUAUGAAAUAAAUUCCAUGCUCAUUAAUGUUAUCUUCGUCUCUAAUCCGAAUGUUCGGAGUUUCUCCUGGAUUGGUCUCACCUAUGUCCUCUUCUGUAGUUGGAUGAAUCUCAUCUUCAAAGGGAGUCAAGAACUCACCAUUUGAAAUUGAGCCAAAGUCAGAACCUAUUAAGGCUUCUUCCUUAUCCAUCCAUUCUACACGUUCUAGCCAUUUAGAACUUGUGAUCAAAAUAGGGGAGGUGUUAGAAUUUUCUAUAUGGCUUAACUCUCCUUCUAUGGCAUUACUUGACAUGUCAUCCUUAUGGUCUUCAUGACUCCUAUGGUUUGGUCGUCUUGGUGAAUUGCUAGGAUCAUCAUGAGACUGAAAAGAAGAGGGAUAAGAGGGAUCUCUAAGGUCAAGGAUGGAUUUAGAACUUGUGAACAUGGAAGGGGAGUAGAUAGAAUUGUCUAUAUGGCUUAGCUCUCCUUCACUUGAUAUGUCAUCCUCGACUUCUUCAUGAUAGGAACCAGGACAUUCUCUAAGAGAAAUAUUAUUGCAAUGAUUUGAAUUAUCCCUGCUUGAAGGUCUCUUAUAGAACCAGAAGUCUAAACCAUCAGCAUCUAAAAGAUUUAAGGUCGGAAUUCCUUCCUCCCUUGGAAAAUUUUGGGGUAUUGAUGGUUUAGGAUCGAUAGCUAAAGUUUGGGAUUGAAGUGGUUGUGAUCUGGCUAUCGAAACUUCUUCUUCUUGUCUAGGAACUGGUUCUUUCUCUUUCUCAGGGAUAUAAAAGCUAGGAGACUUUCCGCUCAUUAAAUCAAUCAAAUUCCAAGCUUCACUAGCGAAUAGGUGGUGGAAAGAUCCUCCAGAGGCCGCUUGAAGGGUUUGCUUAUUUUUCCUAAUAAGGCCCUCAAAAAAGUGAAUUAGAAGAACUUCUUCUGGAAUAGAAAGUUUUGGGCCAGUGAGAGUAAGGUUAAUAAAGCGGUCCCAUGAUUUGCCAAGAGAUUCUUCUUCCAGUUGUCUAAAAGAAAGAAUUUCACGCCGAAGUUCCACCACUUUGGAGAUUGGAAAAUAUUUAGAAAGAAAACUACUAUAUAACUCCUUCCAAUCUCCAUGAACACUCCCUACUUUGAGUUUAUACCAAUGUCUAGCUUUUCCCGUUAAAGAGAACGGAAAGAGCUUCCAUUUAAGGGUCUCAUCGGACAUGCCUUCUAUGCGAAGGAGGUCACAGACUCGAUAAAACUCUCUUAGGUGUGUGUAUGGGUUUUCCUCAACUUUUCCUGAGAAAGGUUGUUUUUGAAUAAAUUCUAUGUAUUCGGGGUCUAUCUCAAAACUAGAUGCUAUGAUAGGCUUUGAAGAUUUUGGUGGUUCGAGAUGUGUGCCCAUAGGUCUAUGAAAUUCAUAGAUAGACAUGUUUGAAUUCAUAAUAGACCAGAGAUCAAGGAUUAGAUAAGAAGAAAGAAUAGCAGAGAUGAGGCAAAGGAUAAAAAGAAAAUAUUUUAUUUAUUUAUUUAUUUUUUUAUAAAAUGAUUAAACUAGUUCGUAGUCAACUCAGCAACCGUUUCCCAGGCAACGGCGCCAAAAAUGCUUGUUGACACUUGCUAACACCACUUGAAUACUAGGUUGUCAUCCCCAGCAUGGCACUAGAGUGUACUGUGGUAUUUAUACGCACACAGAUAAUCCGCAAGCGCACGGAUACCGUUGAAGCUUUUACCCGGUUAAAGGUUUUAUCGUAUCCACAGGGAAACGGGUGAACUGAUCUACGCUCUAACUUAACCAAGAUAAGUAAAUAGGUGUGAAUAGGAAAGAUGGUAGAAUCAAAUAAGAACAAUAUUAAAGGUAAGAUAACAGUGAGUGAUAAUAUGGGAAUAGAGAGUAGAGCAAUUCUAGUAUAUGGGCGAUGGUAGCAGAAUAGAGAGAAUAACUAUGGUUUCUCUACUUCAAAGGGGUAUGUCUAUGUCUGGGACGAACCACGUGAUAAGAGUACACCACAAAGGAUGCUUAUCCAUAGGCCGAUAAACCCUACCCAUCCUGCUAACGAGAGGUGGACUACAGGGGACCAACGUAACUGUCACCUACGCGGCCUACCACACGAUCCAGCUAGACAGGGGAUAUCCACAAGUAAUCUAGGUCUAAGCACCACGCUUACACCUAUACUACAACUCUAACCUAUAGGGUCCUAUAGAUUAGAAGUACUCAAAAGAGUUGUGAACCAGAACAUACAUUAUUAGUAAUUGCAUAAUGAAUUAGAAGU
rnacentral:lncRNA from 1 species